AACGUAGGAGGCGAGCGUUAUCCGGAUUUACUGGGUGUAAAGCGCGAGCAGGCGGUGGAAGAAGUGGGUUGUGAAAGCGCCCGGCUCAACCGGGCGAGGACGAUCCAAACUCUUACACUGGAGACAGGCAGAGGCGGAUGGAAUUCCGGGUGUAGUGGUGAAAUGCGUAGAGAUCCGGAGGAACACCAGUGGCGAAGGCGGUCCGCUGGGCCUUGUCUGACGCUCAGACGCGAAAGCAUGGGGAGCGAAC
rnacentral:rRNA from 1 species